GAUGAACGCCGACAGAAUGCUUAACACAUGCAAGUCUUUGGCGAAGCUGUGCUUGCACAGCCUAGCCAAGGCGGACGGGUGAGUAACGUGUAAGGAACUUGCCCUGCAGUCAGGGAUAACAGACGGAAACGACUGAUAAGACCAGGUAAAGUCAGGCGGACUCAUGUCCAGCCUGAUGAAAAGAGAUGCUGCAGGAGAGCCUUGCGUCCUAUUAGCUUGUUGGUGGGGUAACGGCCCACCAAGGCGAUGAUAGGUAGCCGGCCUGAGAGGGUGGACGGCCACAAGGGGACUGGGAGACAGCCCUUACGCCUACGGGGGGCAGCAGUGGAGAAUAUUGGACAAUGGGGGCAAGACUGAUCCAGCACUUCUGUGUGCACGAUGAAGGUUUUCGGAAUGUAAAGUGCUUUCAGCAGGGAAGAAAAAAAUGACGGUACCUGCAGAAGAAGCGACGGCUAAAUACGUG
rnacentral:rRNA from 1 species